AGAUGGCCUCUCACCAAUGCUUGCAGUUUCACUAGACCUUUCAGCGCACAUAAAGCUUUCCUUGCCUGCAGAUAUAGAUUACAUUCAUCUUCUCUAUGUAUAACUCAAUGAUCUUAGCCUUUGAUUAUCUAUUUUAGAGCUCAGUUUUCCAGAAAAACGAAAGACCAGCAAUGUGUCAAAGAUAUGAGAAAUACCAGAUAAGAUCUAAAGGCAGCCUGAAUCUUGAUUGCAGCAGCCUCCUCAAUGUUGCUGGAUGUUUUACCGGUGGCAGCGGAGGUUAAACGCAUCACAUCUGCUGCAGCCUGGGCAGCAGCCAUAGCAGCAUCUGCUGCUGCAGCCGCUGCCACUGCUACAGCCAUUGCGUGCCUCUGCUGAUCAUUCUCAGCCUCUGGCAGUGCAUUAGCAGGUGCACUUACAGUUGGGUCUGGAGAUCUUAAACCCUUCCCCGCUGCUGCUGGUCUCCGGAAGCUCCAUCUCUUCUUCUCCUUUGGUUUGGGCACUGGGAUUGGAGCUGAUCGGGCCUCUGUCGGCAGUGGAGAUGCUAAGAAGGAGUUGGGAGCCAUUUGCACAGAAAAAGCUACACAAGACAAGGAGGCAAGCAUCCAUAUGGCUCAUAUAGAAGGUGACUUGUAUCUGUUUUUAAUCUCUGGACCAGGACCGCAGGAAAAGGAGAGAAAAUUAUGACCCUGGUAAGCCACUUGCUAGUCUGUGAGAUCGAUCCAAUAAUAUCUAUCGCCUCAAUUCCCAUCUUUCUUUUUAGAGAAGGGCCAGCCAGCCUUGACUUGUCAUGAAGGUAAGUUGUCAUGAAUGUAUUGAAGGAAUGGACAUGGUUGGUAGGGGAAAUAUUGUUUUGUGGGUGAAUGAACGGGCCAGAGGGCCAUGUGGAGGAAACGUGCCGAAGAUCCGCAGACAACACUUUUGGGCUGUCGGCAUCUCAUGUAAAGUUGGCUCCACUGCUAAUUUACAGCAUCCACUGCACCAGCUUUUAGCUCCUGAUCCUAAAAACAAAAAUUGUUCAACAUCUCACUUUCUUCUAGGAGGGUAGGCAAUCAUAUGUCCUUCCAGCAUGAUGCAAAAAUAGAAAUCUACAUCCUUGCAUUGAUGGUUAGAAAUGUUUCAAUUGGCACAUCAAUUAGUUGAGUUGAUGUUUGAUUAACUGCAACCAAUCGCACAAAUUAACCUUCUGUGAAACCCUUGCCUGUUGGAUCUUGGAUGAUUACUGUGUGUCUGUAAAACUUCAGAUUGUGUGGCCAAUAAGGAAGGUUCCCCGGCCAUUAGGUGGAUGGCCUUUCCCUACUA